AAGGAAGGCUGAGUUAAAGAAGACAAAUACCAAAGAGUAUGCUAUGUGAAUCCACUUAACAUGGAAUUCUAGAGCAGGCAUAAUCGUCAUAGUGACAUAAAACAGAUCAGUGGUUGCCUAGCACCAGGAAUAGGUGGUGGGAGGCAGGACUGACAGCAAAGCCACACUGGGGAAUUUUCUGGAUGAUGGAAAUGUUUAUAUGUUAAUUGUGGUCGUGUUUACACUGGUGUGUACCUUUGUCACAACUCGUCUGUACACUUCAAACAUUUGAGAAGACAGAAAUGCCCAGGCUGUUUUUGAAAUUGUAAGCUCAAGAGAUCCUCCUGUCUCAGCUUCUCAAAGUGUUGAGGGUCAGACAACUAAGGGCCUGGCAGAUGAAGAUGCCACAAAACAAGAGGAAUCAACUCAUCAUUAGGACAUCACGAGUCAAAGCUAUCAGCCACAUGCAAGGCCCAGCUCUUAGGAGGGAACAGCCUACACAGUUCAGAAGAAGCGUGCCAGUGUUUCAGGGGAAGUGAAGCUUCUUCCAAAAGAUCUCGCAGGUCUUGUUUACCACUGUGUCUCCAGCAUCAAUGUUAUUGGCAUCUUGGCAGCAGCACUAGGACUUGAAUCUGAGUCUAAUGACUCCCACUAGGAGAGCUGCCUCACAGGAAGUGUGCAGGUGAAGCUGGGGACUUCCUAAAGAAGACUGAGGAGGCUUGCAGACCUGGGAGGAGCAGGAGGGUGUGGCAGCCCCAGAACCCUGGGUGCCACUGACUGGAAGCCAGCUACCAUGUUGUAAGGACACUCAAGCAGCCCUAUGAAGAGGUGUAAAUGUGAAGAAACUGAGGUCCCUUGUUAAUAGCUUUAUGAGUGAGCUACCGUGGAAGCAGAUUCUCUAGUCCCAAUCACAUCUUCAGAUGAUUGCAGCCCCAGUUGACAUCUUGACUGCAACCUCAUGAGAGACCCUGAGCCGUGGCCACUCAGCUGAGCUGCUCCUGGAUUGCUGACUUUUAGAAAUCAAGUGCUGCCGCCCAGACUGAGAGCGAAGCUACUGACCCCUGUAAAGGAGAAUGACCGUCUGGCAGAUGGACAGUGGGGAGCCAGGAAUGGGCUUGUGCCCAGGGACAAAGAGUUAAGCUGCUGACCAUGAAGACCAGGGAGAGCCAGCCAUGCAGGUAUAAAAUAAGGAUGAUGAUGUUAACUCAAAAGGUUAGCAUGAGGAUUAAACCUGUUAACACAUACGAAGACCAUCACGCUGCUGGAGGAUUAAAAAGAGAGAUGCAUCCAGAAUGCUCAGCACCGCGUCUGGCACCUGACUCUCAUACAAUCAUGGCUGGAGUGCAAUGGCACCAUCUCGGCUCACCACAAACUCCGCCUCCCAGAUUCAAGCGAUUCUCCUGCCUCAGCCUCCCAAGUAGCUGGGACUACAGGGAUCCAUCCUAAGGACACUUCUUAAUGACUAUCCUGCAUGCUAAUCUCCAUCUCAGAGUCAACUUCACAGAGGACGAACCUGCAACAGGUUGUGUGUUUAUGCACUAGAAUACUACACAGCAGUAAAAGAACACACGAUGAUACAGGCAACAUGGAUGAAUGUCAAGUGAGAAAAGUCAUACAUGAGAGAAUGUACACUGUAGGAUUCCAUUUAAAUGAAGGUCAAAAACAGACAAAACAAAUCCACAGUGAAAGAGGUCAGAAUAAUGGUGACCCUUCACAUUAGGGAGCCACCUGUGGUACUGGCAGUAGUCUAUAUCUUGAUUCAGAGGGUAGUUACUGCCUCAACGUAUUUUGCAUAUAUGUAUAUAAUAUGUUCAUAUUUAACCUUUAUUGAUCUGCAUACUUACCUGACUGCAUUAAGUUAUGCCUCCAUAAAAAAUAAAAAAGCCAGAUUGUACUGUACUUGCCUAUGACCCUGCUAGUACGUAUUAUAUAGUAUACAGCACAUGUUAUUCUGGAUGUGUCUGUGGGGAAGUUUCUGGAUAAUAUUCGUGUUUGCAUUUGUAGGCAGAGUAAAGCAGACAGCCCUCCCUAAUGCAGAUGGGCCUCAUCCAAUCAGUUGAAGGCCUGAAUAGAAUAAAAAGGCGGCCCCUCCCUCCAGUAAAAGGGAACUCCAUGCCAGCGGGGGACAUAGACAAUUACAUAAUCUGACCUUUUUCAUCUUAUUUUAAAAUCUUAUUAUUUUUGUUGAGGUAUAACUUACUGUUACCAUGCCAGGCUCAUAGUAAGCAUUUGAUAAAGAUUUUUUUUGAAUGAAUAAACAAGUAUCUCCCUGGUCUGGCAUUGAUUCAUUUGGUAGACUUGUCUCUCUACCCUGUGAAUUUCAUUUUACAUAGAAGAAAGCCCUAGCAGAGAGCAAAUCUUAAUCCACAGGCAUGUUGUCAAAAUCAAAUGAGGUAGUUGAUGAAAACACACUUUAUAAACUGUAAACUGAUGUUUACAGAAACAGUGCACAGGUUUUGAGAUUGAACUGCCAGAGGUAAAAACCUAAGUUCUACUAGGCUUCCCCUGUGCUGCCUUGGGUGCUUACACAACACCUCUGUCCCUCAGUUUCUUUAUUACUAAAAUAGAGGUAAAAAGAGGUCCUCCCUUGUUGGUGACUAUGAUAACUGAGAUAAUCUGAGGCAGUAGAGUAGUGGCUGACAGUCAGCACUCAAUGCACACUGGCUGGUGUUAUCACGGAAAGAAUUUUUCUGGGGAAGCCCCUUUCCUCAAAGCAUUUAUCUUCUUCCCCUCCCCGACUCCUUUCUCUCCUCCUCAUCUCUUCUCUGGAGCCCACGAGGAUUUAGGAAUCUAGCCAUUUACAGCCUUAAAUAAAUGAGUUUCUCUAAACUGCGACUGGCCCCCAAGAAAGGAGAUGACCCAUCAGGCAGCCUCACACCCCUGAAUUCAGGAAGUCUGAGCAUCACUUUUUCCAUUAAGGAGGAAAAAAGGUGUUAAUUGGCUGCUUGUGAAAUAUCUGGGCUUCUGCUACCAGGGCAGCCAGGAAGGAGGGGCAGGAAUGGUGAGGGGCAGAAUGGAGGUCACCUGUGGAAACAUUCACUGGUGCUUCGGAGGCCUUGAGGGCAGAACAUAAUCCCUGAGUAGGCUUUUCCCUCUUGCAGGCUAGGCUGGAAGAAAUGGCCAGAGAUGGAAUCAGAUUCCAACCAACAGCCAGGCCCAGCAGGGGCAAUUUGGCAAGGCAGGAGGAGCUCUAGGCAGGGGCUGCAGAUUCAGCUGUCUCAGUCACUUGUGUUACUGGAUCAAGAGGUACAGGGUCCGGAUCAUCUGUAAAGUCUCACUGAGCUCCAAAGUUUUGGAUUCUCAGAAGGGAAGCUUAGUACAGUAGACUCAGAUGAAAUGAGAUUCAAAUCCAACUUUGUCCUUUGGGCAGCUCUGUGUUCUUAGGCAGAUGGCAUCACCUCUUUGUUCCUUUGUAAAAAGAAUAAUAAUGACAAUAGAGGUUUGCUGUAAAUAGGAGUUCAAUAAAUAAUCGUCCCAGUGAUGGUUAAUUUUAUGUGUCAGCUUCAUUGGACUGCAGUGAAGUAUGCAGAUGUUUGUUCAAACAUUAUUCUGGGAGUGUUGGUGAGGGUGUUUUGUAUGAGAUCAACAUUUGAACUGGCAGACUGAGAAAGCAGAUUGCCCUUUUUCAUGUGGGUGGGCCUCAGCCCAUCAGCGGAAGGCCUGAAUAGAAUGAAAAGGCUGAGUAAGGGGAAACCCCUUUGCCUGACUGCCUUAAGCUAGGACAUUGGUUCUUUCCUGCCUUUGGACUCAAACUGAAACAUCUGCUCGUCCUGGGUCUGGAGCCUGCUGGCAUAUAGACCGGAAUCACACCAUAGGCUUUUCUGGGUCUCCAGCUUGUUGACGGCAGAUCUUGGAUCUUGUGAGCCUCCAUAAUGAUGUGAGCCAAUUCUUUACAGUAAUCUCGCUCUCUCCGUAUGUGUAUAUAUGUGUACACACACACCCCUACAUAAAUGUCCUGUUGGUUCUGUUUCUCUGGAGAACUCUGACUAAUAGAGUUCCUUUCCCAUCUGCCAUUCACCUUGUCAUUUUCUCAGGAAAAUGUUCAUAAUUUUCUUUCACACACCUUUCAGCUCUUACUCUCCACUCCCAAAUAAAGCAGUAGCUAUUGAUAAUGAGCAAAAAGUCACCAGCAACAGCAUAUGUUUCAUUUGUCUCAUCUUCAUUAUUUCAAGUGUUUUAAUAAUUAUUUAAUUAUAGGGACACAACCACCUAGGGAGAUAAAGCAGAAAUUGUUCUCUUCCUUUUUCUAAAAGAAGCAUUAAUGAGGUAUAACUGACAUACAAUAACCUGUGUUAUUGAAAGUGUACAGUUUGGUGAAUUUUGAGACAUACACACUGGUGAAACCAUCAACAUGAACAUACCCAUCCCCCUCUCAUUUCCUCAUGCUUCCUCAUCAUCUAUUCAAUGGUUUCAUAACUGCUGAGGACCAGAAAGGAAGUGCUAGUCUCCUGUCACUCAGUCCAGUGUUAAUUCUAAGAGGCUACCUUCAACCAUCCCCAGAAGAGGCGCGGGAACCAGUUAUUAAGCACAUACCAUGUAUGAAGCUCCAGACAAAAAACAAUGUUUGGUCGACAAUGGACUGCAUAUAUGAUGGUGGUCCCCUAAGAUUAUAGUGAAGCUGAAAAAUUCCUAUUGCCUGGUGACAUUGUUGUCAUCAUAAAGUCAUAGCACAACACAUUUCUCACCUGUUUGUGGUAAUGCUGAUGUAAACAAAGCUACUGUGUUGCCAGUUGUAUACACGUGUGCAGUAAUGUCCUAGGUCCUCACAUAUGCUCACCACUCAAUCACUGACUCACCUGGAGCGACUGCCAGUCCACAAGCUCAUUCACAGGAAGUGUCCUGUACAGCCUGCUUAACGUGAAGAUGAUGAGGAUGAAAACCUUUAUGAUGAUCCACUUCCAUUUGAUGAAUGCUACAACAUAGCCAGGAAAAUAUCUUGCUUCAACUGAAAGAAAACAGCCCAUUAGUCUCUGGUGAAAGUCGAUUUAGGGAAAAUGAGUGUCAUAUAGCAGAGUGCUAGGACACUUGAAGCCCUCUUUUUAAAACACUCAUUCAUCUGAAAGGGAAAGGGGUUUUUACUACAAACCUUCCACAUAGCAGGACCUCCCACACAGAGGUAUGAGGAAUAUUAUCAUCUAUGUUACAGAUGAGAAAACUGAGGCUCAGAAAGGUGACAUGGCAUCACCAUGACCAAGACCCUCACAUCUAGUUUGCCUGGCUUUGGAAGCCUAAAGCCUUCUUUAUGCCACAACUGUCUGCUUGGGUCUUCUAUUUUCUUCCAUUAUUUUCCAAUAACUUUAAUUUCAUGAUAAAAGCAAUAAAAUUUUAAAAGAUUGUUCAAAAAAAAAAAAAAAACCCCAGCAAUCUUUCAAAAUGUAGCAUUCUUGCUAUGCUCAGAAUCCAUAGCACCUAGUAUCCCUGAUGCUAGUAGAUGUGUGAUAAAUGAUUGAUGAUUGAAUGUACAAAUGAGUGAAUCCACAGCUUACCUACCAGGGCAUCCCUUUCUUCCUCAACACUCACCUGGGAUUGUGCCCAUUUUUGCUUCAACUUCAGACUUUUUCCCAUUGCACUGGGGCUGUUCUCCUGGGACCUUUUUUGCAUUGUGGGGAAGUCCGCAUUCUGGGGCUUAUUCAUUUUGUGCUUAGCUUGCCUUAGGAAUACACAAACUCCUCAGUUCUCUUUCUGAUACUCACAGAGUGAGUCCUUGUCUUCUCUGGAUUUCUGUUCCAUCAUAAUAAAUCAUUAUCAAAUAUAUGCUCCUGUUUUAUUUUUAAUAUGUCAAGUAAUAAUAAUGGUAAUAAUAGAUAAAAUUUGUAGGGCUUCCUUUGUCCCAGUGCUCUGUUGAGCAUUUCACAUAUUGAAUAGUAUGCCCCAAAAAGUUGAAAUUCAAAAUGCCUGGUAACUAUGAAUAUGACUGUAUUUGGGUCAUAUUCAUAGGGUCUCUGCAGGUAUAAUUAAGUUAAGGACCUUGAGAUGAAAUCAUCCUAGAUUUAGAGUGGAACCUAAAUCCAAUGACUAGUACUCCUAGAAAGACAGAGAGAUUUAAUACAGGGAAGAAGAUACGAAGAUGGAGGCAGAGACUGCAGUGAUGAAUCUACAAACCAGCAAAUGCCAAGGACUGCUGGCAACAUCAGAAGCUGCAAGAGAAACAUGGGAUGCAUUCUCCCCAGACCCUGCAGAAGAAACCAAUCUUGCCAACAACUUGAUCUUGAACCCUUGGCUUCAGAACCGUGAGAGGCUAAAUUUCUGUUGUUUUAACCCAGCUAGUUUUUGGUCAUUUGCUAUGGCACUGUUUAUUUCCCAGGAAAUACACACACCUAUAAUCCAGGAGUUACUUUUUAUUGAGAUAAGAAAACUGAGGCUGGGAAAAGGUUUAUGACUUUGCCUAAGGUCACAAAAUCAGCAAAUGCUUCUAACACAGUUCCAGGCUGGCUUCCUAGACAUGCGACCUGUGCAGCUAUAUGGGGUCCUGAACUCAGCAGAGCCUCUGAUUGGCUUGAGGCUCUGCUGUUGUCUUCUGGAAAUUUUAGUCUUUCCUUUUUUUAACAAGGGGCCUUUAUUAUUAUUUUGCACUGGGCCUCACAAUUAUAUAGCUUGUUCUGACCGGGUGUCUCUGCCAAACCUCUGCUUUUUCAUUCAUCAUUUGCAGUACAAAAAGCCCACACAUAUCCUUGAUCUCCAUUCAUCCCCACAGCCACAGCCUUCUAACCUGUCUCUCCAUGUGACAGACUGAAAAAUGGGCCCCUAAAGGUGAUCAUGUCCUAAUCCCCAGAACUUGUGACCUGACAUGGUAAGGGGGUUUUGCAGCUAUGAUUAAGGGGUCCUAAGAUGGGAAGAUUAUGCUGGAUGACCUGGUGGCCAGAUGGACUCAUAACAGUCCUUAUAAUAGGGAUACAAGAGGAGUUAGAGUCAGAGGAGAUGGUGAUAGAAUGAAAGAAGUAGGGAUAGAAGCCAUAUGCUUUGCAGAUGAAGAAAGGGGUUGCCAACCAAGACAUAUACGUAACUAUGGGAGCUGAGAAAGGUGUAUGGAAGUAGAUUUACCCCUUAGAGCCUUUGGAGGGAACCGGCCCUGCUGACACCUUGACUUUAGCCCAGUGAAACUGAGUUUGGAGUUCUGACCUCCAGAAUUGUAAGAGAACAAAUCUGUGUGUUAAGCCAUUAACUUUGUGAUGAUUUGUUACAGCAGCCACAGGAGACUAAUACACUACUUCCCUCUUACUCUUACCUUACUCAUAAAAAGACUCCCUCAUACUGUUACUUUUCAAUCUGUGGAAGUACUGGAGGAGAUAAAUAGAACUUUAGUUUAACAGAAAAACAUUUACGUAACAUUCAUAUAAAAUUGUAAAAAAAAAAAAAAAUCACAGGUUUUCAAAGGCAAGAUUUUCUUUUGUGACGUUCAUUUAUUAUG